UACGAGAGGCCCAAACGUUAUUCGGAUUUACUGGGCUUAAAGAGUUCGUAGGCGGCGCAGAAAGUAGGGUGUGAAAGCCCUCGGCUCAACCGAGGAAUUGCGCUCUAAACUACUGUGCUUGAGGAACCUAGAGGUGAGCAGAACUGAUGGUGGAGCGGUGAAAUGCGUUGAUACCAUCAGGAAUACCGGAGGCGAAGGCGGCUCACUGGGGGUUUUCUGACGCUGAGGAACGAAAGCCAGGGGAGCGAACGGG
rnacentral:rRNA from 1 species